rnacentral:tRNA from 1 species
UCUAAUAUGGCAGAUUAGUGUAAUAGAUUUAAAUCCUAUAUAUGUAAUAAAAAUUACUAUUAGAA